AGUGAACGCUGGCGGUAGGCCUAACGCAUGCAAGUCGAACGGCAGCACAGGAGAGCUUGCUCUCUGGGUGGCGAGUGGCGGACGGGUGAGGAAUACAUCGGAAUCUACUCUGUCGUGGGGGAUAACGUAGGGAAACUUACGCUAAUACCGCAUACGACCUACGGGUGAAAGCAGGGGACCUUCGGGCCUUGCGCGAUUGAAUGAGCCGAUGUCGGAUUAGCUAGUUGGCGGGGUAAAGGCCCACCAAGGCGACGAUCCGUAGCUGGUCUGAGAGGAUGAUCAGCCACACGGGAACUGAGACACGGUCCAGACUCCUACGGGAGGCGGCAGUGGGGAAUAUUGGACAAUGGGCGCAAGCCUGAUCCAGCCAUACCGCGUGGGUGAAGAAGGCCUUCGGGUUGUAAAGCCCUUUUGUUGGGAAAGAGAUCCAGCUGGCUAAUACCCGGUUGGGAUGACGGUACCCAAAGAAUAAGCACCGGCUAACUUCGUGCCAGCCGCCGCAGUAA
rnacentral:rRNA from 1 species